UACGUAGGGCGCAAGCGUUGUCCGGAUUCACUGGGUGUAAAGGGUGCGUAGGCGGGAAGGCAAGUCAGAGGUGAAAUCUCACGGCUCAACCGUGAAACUGCCUUUGAUACUGCUUUUCUUGAGUUAGGGAGAGGUUGAUGGAAUUCCAGGUGUAGCGGUGAAAUGCGUAGAUAUCAUGAGGAACACCAGAGGCGAAGGCGGCUACCUGGACAAUUGCUGACGCUCAGGCACGAAAGCGUGGGGGAGCAAAAGGG
rnacentral:rRNA from 1 species